rnacentral:sRNA from 1 species
ACGACCGCACCAUUCAGCAGGCUCGCCGCCUGGUCGCCGACCACGGUGAUGACGGGCAGCAUCGCAUU